UCAUUCAAGUUUCUGACCUAUCAGCUUUCGACGGUAUGGUAUUGGCUUACCGUGGCAGUGACGGUUAACGGGGGAUUAGGGUUCGAUUCCGGAGAGGGAGCCUGAGAAACGGCUACCACAUCUAAGGAAGGCAGCAGGCGCGCAAAUUACCCAAUUCUAACAGUUUGAGAGAGGUAGUAACAAGAAAUAACAAUACAAGGCAAUUAAAAUGUUUUGUAAUUGGAAUGAUAGAAAUUUAAACCCUUUUUAAAGUAUCAAUUGGAGGGCAAGUCUGGUGCCAGCAGCCGCGGUAAUUCCAGCUCCAAUAGCGUAUAUUAAAAUUGUUGCAGUUAAAAAGCUCGUAGUUGAAGUUCUGCUAAAAGUAACCGGUCUGCUUUUAAUAAAAGUGGUAUCUUGGUGUGUAUUUAGCAA
rnacentral:rRNA from 1 species